ensembl:lncRNA
AUGGCAUCUUACACAGUGGUCAUUGUCCCUCUCAGGAACAGUCCUAACAGUCUGGAUGCAUUGCAGUUCUUCCUCUGGGUGAAGAAGAUGAAGGACUUGGAGAGGGAAAAGGACUUUUUGUGGAUUGGAUUGCAGGCUUUAGAGCAGGUGCGAGAGAAGUUAUGCUACAACCUAGAAGACAACAUGGAAGUGCAAGACCAAUUCAAGAAAGGAGAGAUGAGAAAAGUGUUUCUAGACACCCCCACCCUACUGUUGGCUCAGAUCCACAGAGUGAACAGGACCUUAAGGAAUCUACUUUGUGACUCCAGGAAUCCAAUAGAAGGUCAUUAUUUUAACAAUGUGCACCAAAUUCCUGUAAAAACAUUUAGUUCACUCUUCAUUGUCACUUUUAUGUGCCAGAACUAUUCAGUUCAGUGUAUUGAAAGCAGUUUACUUUUUGUUAGGUACUGAAGGACACCAGCCCUCUCCUACCUGUUCAGAAGAAAGUGCUAGUUUUUAAACAGCUAUUUGUUUUGAAAUUCUGUAUUGCAUUUUCCUGUAUUUUGUGCUUGUAGAAUGUAUUCUGAGUGGAUUGAAAUAAUAAGUUUCUGUGCAAUAAAUGAAAAAUUGCCUAAUUGAUAAGAUUUCCA